rnacentral:tRNA from 1 species
GGCCGAUUGGCUCAAUGGUAGAGCGUCCGCCUCCUACGGCCUUCUACAGGCCCAGAUGCGAGCGGAAGGUUGCGCGUUCGAGUCGCGUGUUGGUCG